rnacentral:rRNA from 1 species
UACGUAGGGUGCGAGCGUUGUCCGGAAUUAUUGGGCGUAAAGAGCUCGUAGGCGGUCUGUCGCGUCGGUCGUGAAAACUUGGGGCUUAACCCUGAGCUUGCGGUCGAUACGGGCAUGACUGGAGUUCGGUAGGGGAGACUGGAAUUCCUGGUGUAGCGGUGGAAUGCGCAGAUAUCAGGAGGAACACCGGUGGCGAAGGCGGGUCUCUGGGACGGUACUGACGCUGAGGCGCGAAAGCCAGGGGAGCAAACGGG